GAAAGGCUUGGUUUUUAUUUUAUUUUAUUUUUCUCACGCCAAAAUCUUCCGUUUCGUUGACUUUGUUUCUAUGCGGUACCUUCUUCAUCUCCUACAUCCAUACAUACAUAAUCGGAUCCAAUUCCAAUCCCAGUUCCUCGGCAGGUAUAUGCAGCUAUGUUUAUCAUGUGUCUGCUAUAUAUAAUAUUUCUUCACAAUUUCUUUUUCCUUCUGCUAGCUGAAAGUAUAUUUUGCUAUAUACAUACUCCUCAAUUGAUUUUAGAAUAUUGGUGUUUUCAUGGAGAAAUACAUAGCUAAUCAAGUUUUAGUUGCUUAUCUGCUUGCUAGGCAUACAUAGAUGGUUCAAAUUAUAUGUGUCACAUCAUCACCUAAUUAAUUUUUUCUAAGUAUGCAAUCCUUUCGGUACCCAGAAAUUUGAGAUAGUUAUAAUAGAUUUUUUUUUAAAAUCUUAUUUGUCAUGUUAUUACAGUUUAAGGUUGAUUCUGGAGCUUUUCAGUCUGGUCAUCGUUUACGGUUCCAUCGGCGGUGCGGUUGGUGGCAACAGCCACUUCAAUUCGAUAAUGCUCCUCACCAGCUUCAUCCAUUUUCCCAUAAACUUUCACUUCAUCACCGACUGCUAGAUUCCACCACUGCACGAAUAGAAGCCAUCCACUAGUGAGAACUGGCUUCGGAUAGUCUUUCUUCCUUGUAGAACAAUUAAAAGCCCAGUCUUUGCCAUGCUUGUCCUUCACCUUAAACUCCACCAUAUGCUUGCCACGGAAAUUCAAGAAACAUUUUUUCUUCCUAGAUGGAAUAGGAUCUUCUCAACAUCCGUUUUGGUUAGUCUUUUUUUUUGAAUAGCGCUUUUUCUAUUGCCAUUGUUCAAGGCAAAGUGAGUUGAAGAGGUUAAAGGGUUUUAGUGUUACACAGAGAAACAAUGAAAAUGGCUUGAUAUAAACAAGGGAUUGGAUUCACUGUUUCAUUUUAAUGUCGCGCGAUUAGCAGAAUCGUUCAAUUAUCAGCAUGUAUGUCUCGAGGUUUGUCG
rnacentral:lncRNA from 1 species